UUUGGAAUAAUUUUCACUUUAUUGGAUCCUUCGGGUUACUCAAAUUCAUUUAGGGUUUGUAGGGGGUCCUGAUUUUGUUCAAAUUGUAAUGAUAAACCUUAAAUGGGAGUAUUCUUUCUUAGGGUUCCGUUCAGAUUGAAGAUCCGAACACGAAUUUCUGAAGAUUUGUCACCAUUGGUAUCUCUUUUUACCGAAGAUUCGAACACGAAUUACAGGGUUUCGUUACCACGCUUAUCUUGACUUGAAUUCUUCGGACGGAGGAACGCUUCAUGUCAAACUUUCGGAAGGACUCAGCUGAGGAUUGCAGCUUAGAUUUACAACCUGUAAUUAAGUACAGACAAAAUGGUGUUGUCUUGUUACACAUCUAUUGUAUUUCUGAUGUGUUGGUAUGCUUUUAAUAUUGGGUUUUUGGGUGUGAGAAGGUAUUGACUGCUCGAAUCUGGGUCAAUACAGAAGAACACCCCCAAGCUGGUUGGAGCAUUUCUUCUCCUGAUGUUGAAGAUAACACAUGUAAGUUCGCAAAGAACUGGUUGACUCCAUCUCAGAUUGAUGUCAUUCUCAGGGAUUCACAUGGUUUAAGAGUGUCAGUUGAAGCAACAUUUUGCAUAUUCUUAAGGCUCAUGGUACGGCCAUCACUAUUGUUUUUUGGUUUAUUGGACCUAGAGAUUUGUUUCUUUAUCUUCUUACACUUCAUGAAUUUGACUUCAAUUUCCACAUUCAAUAUAGCUUCUCUGUAUUUAUAUUGAAUUCUUGUUUGUUUCAACUAUAGGCUGAAGAAGGUAAUAUGUUAUCAGUGUUUUGCUGGGUAUGAGAUUUCUGUAUCCAUAUUUAUUCUAAUUGUACUCCCAAUUAAUUUAAUGCACCAAACUUAGUUGUGUUUUGCUGUGUUAUGACAUCUGGAUUUUUUAUCUCCCUAUUUCGAGGUUUGAUAAGUGAUAAGAAGAUCAAGAUUACUGUCAAUGAAUCCUGAUAAACGUUCUGUUGAGUAGUAUUGAUUUCAAUAUGUGAAUUUGUAAAGGUUUAAACGCCUUGAAGGUUGAACUCUUUGAUUGUGUUGCUCCUUUAAAUGAAGAGUGAUUGUGCAGUUUUUUUUAUUUUUUUAUUUUAAUUUUUUUUUAAUUAAAUCUGGCAACUAAAUGUUAAAGCAAUUUCGAUGGAUCUCGUAUCUUCUUUUUUUUUGUGUGCUUUAGUUGCAGAAUGCCGAUCUCCUGGACAGUGAAAUCAUAUAUGACAGAGAUUUUGACUAUGAUUAUUUUGGUUUCAAAACCCUUGAAAGAUCCUACCUGUUGAAGGUGCAAGGCAAGGUUGUAGAAGACCACAACAUAUGUUGAUGAGAGUUGCUGUUGGAAUCCGCAAAGACAAUAUUGAUUCUGUUCUCAAAACAUAUCAUCUAUGCCACAACGUUGGUUUACCCAUGCUUCUCCUACUCUUUUCAAUCUAGGGACACUCAGGCCUCAAUUGAGUAGCUGCUUCCUUGUGUGCAUGAAAGAGCACAGUAUUGAAGGAAUAUAUGGAACUUCGAAGGAGUAUGCUGUUAUUAGUAAAUCUGCUGAAGGAAUUGGAGUUUCUGUGCACAACAUCUGUACCACUGGUAGUUAUAUCUUUGGUACUAAUGGAACAUCUAUUGGAAUUGUUCCAAUGCUAUGAGUAUUCAAUGACACUGCCCGUUGUGUUGAUCAAGGAUGACAAGAGGAAAGGUAAUGUCUUCUGCCUUGAUAUACUUUCUUGUGUUAGCUUCCUGUACAGGUGAUAUUGCUGUCUACCUAGAGCCAUGGCAUGCCGCUAUUUUCGAGUUCCUAGACCUAAGGAAGAAUCAUGGAAACGUAUUGUUGGAUGAUUUAUUGAUUUCACCUGCCGUCAGAAUUUGUUCAAUAAGUGAUGAUACUGUAUUUUGGUUGUCUCUGAAUAUUUUGUAUAAACCUUCGAAAUACACACAAGAGCAAGCUGCAGUUAGAGCAUCCUCAGGAGAUUUCAGCCUGCGCAUUCUGUCAAUAGCGGGUGCCUCGCUGCCGGGUCUUCUGAAAUAUAGCUGACAGUGAUUCUUAAUGAGCAGGUCUGCACAAAGAUACAGCCUAAUUCUGAUCGAUAGAGUUCAUUUGAUUGAGAAAGACAAGCUUGUUGGGUUUGUUCUAGAUUGUCAGUUUGUGAGCAUGAUCAGAGUUGUGUUCAAAAAUAUGUUGGAUAAAGAGAAUUGAGAUGGGCCAGAUGAUGCUGUUGAUGUUUUCCUUACAUAUUUUGGUGUUGUUCUGGCACGGCUGCGCUUCAAAAAAAAAAAGACUCAGCCUAACAAGCAAACCCUUAUUAGAGCCACGUGUGGGUUGGAUUUAGAGAGGAUUCGCUUUCAUGGUUCAGAUUCUCCUCAAUCUGCUGCCAGGGAGAUCCUUCUUCUUUCUUUGGGGAGGUGUCGUUACAGGGUGACAGUUGCUUUUCAGUAAAGCGACAACUUGUAACAUAGAGAAGCAGCUGUAAACUGGAGAGUGUGGACCAAGUUGAAGAAAAUCUUUUGCCAUGAGUCUCGAGUCCAACCAACCAUCUUCAGCAUCAGUUUUCAGUAGCUGGUUGUAUAUGAAUGAAUAAUUACUCUUUUGUACUUUAAUCAACACUAAUUGUUCCAUCUAUGGGCUGUAUAAUUCUUCUAUGUACGGACAUCCAUUGUGUCUGUGUCCCGACAUCCAUAAUUUGAAUAUCCAUAAGGUGGAGCACCUUUUUUCG